ACUACACACUGCUGAGAAGAGCCUGGCCUUGUCUGUUUGCCUCCCACCUCCCUUCAGGUAUUUUUAAACACUGAUCAGAUCCCGCCUCAGUCCUUAGAAAUCCCACACAGUGAUGUUAUCCAACAAAGCUCAGGUUGAAGUAUAGUCACAUUUCUCCCAUAUCACUGUGACAGCACAAUGUUUUGCUUCGUAUUUUAAUGGGAGCAGGAGCAGACCUGCCAGCUAUCAAAACCAUCCAGCCAAAAGACACUGAAGAAUUCUGGGUAGCAUUAGGAUCUCAGUGCAGAAAUUGGUGCUUUGGUGCGAUGUUACUCUGUGGUUGGAAUUGUAUCAGCAGAAUGCUUUGGAUUUGAUUUUGCUCCACUCAGAUGAAUUGUUUGUCAGGUUUAUUUUGUAUUACAAAAUAGUUAUCAGAAUAUAGGCAAUGAUUUUAAUAACACCAAUUAAAUAAGCGUUGAUUAUGUUGCACUACCUUCCAUAUAAUAUCACCUCCCUGCCCAGUAGUGGCAAUGUGUUCUGUGAAAAUAGAAAACAGGUAAAUACUUCAGUUAUACAAAUAUAUUUUAAAUAUAUCUUGUUUCAUUUGCUUCAUUUUCAGUGGUAUUAUCCAAACACGAGAGAGCAUGCUCUAGUAUUAUGAUGAAGGUUUAAAAAAUCUUUUAAUGAGAAAGCUGUAUCUCAUUCUGUUUGUGUGACUCAAUAUCUGGAGCUUUCUUUGCUUAUCUUGCUGACGUUUGUACUCCUUGGUCUUUAUAAAAAGCAGCAAAUGCAUCUGAAAACAUGAAUUACGUGAAUGUUUUCAAGCUGGGAUAUCUUUUUGUUACUUCUUUUCCCCUUUGUUGGACAAAGUUUUCAAUUACAUGCUUCCAGAAGUCUGAGCUUUCCUUUUGACCUACGCACCCACAGUACAGUUUCUGCCAAUUCCUUUCCUCCUGUUUCUGUUUAAGGAUGCUUUGUUUUAAGAAAAUAAUUUUAGUGCCUCUUUUCACAUUAGUCAGAAUUUCUGAAAGGAAAAAUCAGUUAAUGAGUCCAAUACAAGCUAGAGGUAAUAUGCCAGUGGUGAGUUCUGCAGCCUUGAGCCCCUGUCGUGGCAGGAAAAGAUUGUGUCAAGGCUGAGAGCACAGAAAAACUCUUCCUAGCAAUCACAGAGGAGAAAACAAGCAGCUAGCCCUAAGUGUGAUGCACUUCAUCAGUCCAGCAAUUAAAUCACUUACAUGUACACAAACUCUGAGCCCUAAUAAAUUGAGAGAGCUCAGUGGUAAAUAUUUCCAAGACCCAUAAAACAGACUAAGAAACUGAAAGAAGCUGAUCUAUCUAGAAGUCACAAUGCAACAAGCUCGAAAAAAAAACAGCCCUUUCAACUCCUCCAUUGCAUCACAGAAAGCUGCUAGCAUGCAUCUGUUAAUGUAGUACGAAUAAAGGAGCUCCUGGCUACAGGACCCAGCUGAAUGCUGAGGUGGGAUUAAAGGCAGAGACUGACUAUCUUGUUUCCUUUAACCAAUUUGCAUUACAUUGGCCUAAGCAAAAAAUGCUCUUAUAUUUACAUGUCAAUGCAUUCCUAAAAACGCAAUCCUUACACAUUUCAAGAAUACUGAAAUCAGAUUAUUUAUCACUGAUUUCAGCCCAGUGACUGCUGCAACUUAGAGCUGAUUUCUUUCUGCUCCCUCAUUAGAGAACUGCUAAAUCUAUUUCCUUCUCUCAGCAAUAACAGGAGAGCACACAAUGUCUUCCUUCCUUCCUUUCUGCAAACUUUGAACAUUUUCUCCAGCGUUUGUUCCAUCUCUAUAGGAAGUAAACAAUGCUUGAUAUAUUUAGGCCCUUGCCAAGCUCCCAGUGACCAAAUGCUCUGUCAUCACUGGAAUCCAACUUGGAAUUCCUUGGUAUUUAAAGUCAAUCUCCCUUACAGAAGGCUACCUUACAUUAAGUGGGUGUAAUCCUGGAUCCCUUCUACUGGCCUUUCAGGCACUGGAACUGAACUGAUCCAGUUCUUACUAUUUCAUUUCCCAUAUUAAGAAAAGUGAUGGCAACGUCCUCAAGAGUUAAAACAACACAGAUUGUGCUGCUACUAAAAACAAUUCUUUAAUUGCAUCAGUUAACAUAGAGCAUGAGGAUGUAAGAGGGUGAUCAACCACUAGAGGGCUCAUUGUUCCGUAUAGCAUUUUAACAAGAUGAUUGAAUUAAGUGUCAAAAGCAAAGAACUUCAAUAUCAUUUCAUCUUACGUGAGGCUUCUAUACUUUCAAAUCCUAAAAAUACUUAUUUUCUUCUAGUCUCUGACCAACCAUUUACCAUCUUUCUGCCAUCUCCACAUGCAGACACUACGUUUCCUUUUGAUGAGGGGUUUAUUACUCCAGUGCUUAACACCCACAGCUUCUCAUGUUUGGCAGUUUGAGUUAUUACUGACAUGAAAAAACUAGUACAUACACUCACCGUCUAUUUUCAUCAUGUUCAUCUAAAAUAGUCUCUUUCCUAGUCAUAGUUGAAAAAUGCCAGUUACUUGACUUUGUAAUUUUGGAAACACACACUUUUCAUGUGAACAAAACAAGUUUUGACAUAGUACUUUGAUUAUCCUUUAUUUGGCUUUUUGGAAUACGUAUGGCCUCACCUCCUUAGCACCAUUCAAGGUGUUUACUUCUGCCUUUGAAGACGUGAAAAAUUUGCUUACAGACCAAAUUCAUUCUCAUGCAUUGUCACAACAGUGGUUGUUUUGUUUCCUCUGUUAAUAUCCUGUGUGGUACCAACAGCAGAAAACAAAUACAGUGUAUUUUAGACUGAGAUUCUUAUUACUGAUUUGAGGAUGUGAUAGAAGGUCACUCUGGUUACUGAAGUCUCCUCAAGAGUUCAGUGGCCUGGAAAGGCUCUGUUCCAUAGGAGGAACUUGUUUCAGUGACCUUGAGUAAGCUGAGUAAGCUUGAGUCAAUGCUUGCAACUGUACUUGUGCUUCUCAGGCUUUUGAUGGGCAAUUUAUAAUUCUGGAACUAAUUCUGGAAAAAUAAUUCUUAUUUUAAGCACUGAUCUACAUUCAGAAUCUACAUACAGCUUUAUCUUUUUAAUCUUUAAUUCUCUUUCUUGUUAUUCAUGUUAUGUACCAUUUUUGAUCUAAGCUGAUGAACGCUGCAGUUAUUUGCAUAUGACUAUCAGGAAAUUGCAAAUUUAAAAAAUUGGAGUUUUGUAUAAAUAUCAUAAUUUUUAAACUCUUAAAAUCCAUUUACCAUCAUUUACCAGCCUUCCUAAAAGCUUAGUUUUUUCUUUUCGCAUUUAAGCUCUUCUGUCUCUGCUUGACAGGUUUCAUUGAUAAGAACUAAAAUGUUUUUCAGUAAGACUUCAAGGAUGUCAAUGUGCCCAAUAAAUUAUAGCAAAAUAGAACAAAACUGGAAAGCACAGACUCUUCUCCCUGCAUAUUUAUGUAGACUUUCAGAAUCACGUACCAACUGUGCAUAUCAGCCAUGGGUAAGAUUAACAAACACAAACCAGGCUAACAGUUCUUGUGGCACUAAUACAGAAAUCAGCUUCAGCCCUGAUUUGAUUCUCUGACUUCAUUUUUUUUUUCCUGAGGCAUUAGCAUGAGAAGCAUCGUACAGGCUAUCUGUAGGCAUUUCAGAGAUCACCUUCUAUUUGAGUCUGGUUUGCUGACAGCCUAGCUUAAUGUUGUUACGAGGGUUAUUGAAUUGCUGUGGAUAUAAGCGUGAAUAAGUGUGCAUUACGUUAAUAGUAUAAUAUUUUGACUUGGAGGGCAACCGUGAGAAAAGUGCUGUUGAGGCUGAGCUUCCAAGAAAAACAGUUCGUGCUGUUCUUUGCAAAAUGCCUUUUAUUAUACUUAGCAAUAAUACGAUGCUGGCACAGGACAUAUAAUGAAGCAAAUACCUUAAGAAUUGAAAAAUAGCUAAACAACACAGGACACAAACAUGGGGGUGAAUGUCACUGAGCACUUUAGGCAUAAAAUGUUUAGUUACCAAUGUAUGAAAAGAUCUGUCAUUCUUUCUGUUAGUUCUGAAAAUACUUCAAGCUUAAGAGGAAUUCUAAUAACUGGAUGGGAACAUUAAUUUUCUUCAGAUAUGUUUUGUAUCAGAUUCAUUUUUUUCAUAUUGAUCUUAACAAAAAAUAUUAUUUUCCUAAUCUCCAAACAUCUUCCUUUACUCAAUUAACACACAAGCCUACAAAGAAAUGUAUCACCAUUUCUCAGAUGCAUCUUCAACCUGUACCAGUUGUACAGACUGUACAGUUUGGCCUGUUAACUUCCAUGUGGGUAGAGAAAAUAAGAUGUGGAACUGUUAGUCUUGUUAGUCUCACACACUAAAGGUUUUUCUUUAUUUCUGCCUGCUUUUACAUCCAACUGGUUUUGUGCCUAUUAAUAUUGCAGCUUUUUAUGUAAAAGAAGAUACAAAAUCUUUUUAAGCUUCAAUUUUGAAUGUUUCAAGUUGACAUUUACUGUUUUUCAGUAUUGUCUAGCAUAUGUUCUAGUUAAAUUAGCUGACAGGGAGUGAUAUGAUAAGUGAUACAGACUUUCAUCUUUCCCGCAAGAAAAUUCCUUGAGAAGAAAUAAACAAUUACACUUCAACAAGCCUUUAUUUAAAUUCAUACAUAAUAUAUGUGAGCAGCUGACUCAACAGAGGGAAUUCAGAAUAACAAAUGGUAGUAUCGCUAUUAAAGUACAUUUCAGUAAGGAAAAACAACAACAACAAAGGAAAGAAAAGAGAAGGAAAACCAGCUUUGCAUUCAGUGGUUUAUCAACUGAUUCUUUGCAGGUAGCUGUCCUGUAGCCACGUCUAGUUGCACAUGUAUUCUUAAAAGUGCGAACGAUCAAUAAUUAAGCUUUUUUAAAAGUAUAUAAGUCUAUAAGCACCUCUGUUUAGGGAGCAGAAUAUUUAGUCUGUAGAUUAAUGACAGUAUAAUUACUAGCUCUUGAAUAUUUCACUUGCUGAUACCAGUAUGCAAGGAGAUGCUUUGAGAAUCAUCUUGUUCUUGCACCCUACGAGGGUGAGUGCUUAUUUUUUUUUGUCAAAACUUGAGAAUGAACCACCAACAGUUAUUCUAAAAACUGAGGGUAGAGACCUAUUUCUGAACUGUUAGCAUGCUCGAGUCAAGCGUGAGCAAGGAGUAAUGCAUUUAUGAAAACUAACAGUGAAAGAAAUGCUCCUGGUUAGGUAUUUGUCCUAAACUAAACAGCUCUGAAGUGUAGAGUUAAUAUUCUCUAGCCCUGCCACCGAAGCACAAUAAAGUUAUUUAAAUAUAAGAGUUGAAAUGGAUCGUUCUGCUUCCCUUGUUCAUAGUCAAUAAAAUAAAACAAGUAAGCAAGCAGCAUUUACCAUAGUUGGUAUAACAUCUUUUGCAUUGCUUCCUCAAACGAUCAUGAUUCAGAUUACUUUUUGAAAGGUGGGAAAAAAGGAGAAGAAUUUUCUUCAGACUAUAAAAUUUUUCAGGACUUUGUCGAUCUCGGCUAGGUAUAUCACAGCCAAGCUGACAAUGAAAACAACACUGAAAAAGAGAGAAGAAGCGUGUAUGUGUAUACACUUCUGAAGAUUUAUUCAGAGUAGGGAACCAAUUUCUCUGAUUUGUGAAAGAAAAGCACCUUUGAUUUAAUUUGUGCAGCAAAGAACGCAGCAAAAAGACCAGGUGAAAAGAGGUAGGGUGCCACUAGAAAGCCAAAGCCCCGGAUUCUGCUUUGCACGGAAACAAGCCCUCUGGUUUACAAGUCUAAGCAGCAGAAAUGUUGUUGCUCUCUGUGCACAUGACUUGAAUACGUUCAUGCCCCAAGUCUGCAACUGCUACUCUGUGGCUAUUCCAAGUCUCAUUCUGAGUGCUCAAAGCAUACUUCAGAUUGCAAUACUGUGCCAAGUGCUAUUCUUCAUACAAGAAAUGACAGAUUAACAAGCAGACUCAACCCACCUUCCAUUCUAAGCAGAUGAGAAGGAUGAAUUUGUGACUCAAACACCACUUGCAUCUCCAAAGAUCAUCAGAUCAAAGAUCCUGCACAUAAUGUUCAUAUUAUUUUAUUAAAAAUCCAAGUAAACAAACUGCAGUACUUUAACUGGCAGCUAACAAUGCUGUGCAAAAUUUCUCCCCGUUCCUGCUUUUUCCUUCAAUCCACAUGGCCUCUUUACUGUCUAUCUUAGGUAGGUAUUUCUCAUUUCCUUCCUAGUACCUAUGACAGUAAGAGUAGAAACUCACAUAUGGCACACUUCUCACUACCCAGAUCAUGCACAUAAAACGACAUUAAUGUUAACUCACAAGCUGAGGGAACAAAGCAAACCUUUCUCUCCACAAGGCACAGUCAGCCUGGCAAGAUGACAUCCCUCAUGUCUAACCAAGAAACGUCUAAUAAUGGUGGGAGGAGAAAAGAGAAAAUGGAAGAGGAUGAAAUGUAGGUUUUUCAGUUCAGUCUUGUCUUCUGUAGCAGGAAUGCUAAGUCAUGACUUGAAGCAGUGAUGGAGCACCUGGUGGGAAGGCAGGGCCAACCCCGGAGAGCUCAGGUGCAUGCAAUGAACCUGAGUGACUGGAAGGGGUAGAGCCAGGAUCCAUCCCUUCCCAGACCUCAUUUAAGGGUUGGCAGUGGAGGUUGGGGUAUCUUGCUUGAGAUCCCUGUGUAUCUGAGGUUUUCUAAGGGCUUCUUUCAUAAAACAGGAAUAAAUCCCCUGGGACCAGGCUGGAGCUAGAAUGGAGCCCCCAGGCAGGUGGUGUGCAUGCAGAGGCUCCAUGUGAGGCUGCUCUGGAUGGCUGACUUCUGGUACACUUGGGACCCCAGCAUUUCUUCAUGUAUCAAUGCUAGGUUUCAUCAUUUUGAUAACUUUAAGAAGUCACAGACAGAAAAAUAAAUCCAAUGUUAGAUAUGAGAAAAAGCCUCAGGCUCUCAUCCGAACACUUUAGUUACAGGAAUUUAUCUCUUUUAGAGAACCUUCUGUAUUGAUGUAUGAGUUGUGUUUACAAUGGAUCUUAAAGAGAGCAUAAAUUACUUAGUGAAAGGAAGAGAAGAAGUGGUUAACAAACAGAAGAGAGCAAAUGCUUAGUGCUCUGUCAAUACUACUCAAUCCUUACUUGCAGAGUUCAGAGUGCUUUUGAAAGAAGCUGAAACUCAAACAGAUAAUGAAGGAACUGCAUGUAAGCCACCUAGCCCAUCAGGACUGGAGAACCCAGAUCUCUUGACUUUGUGGUGAAUCACAAUCUGGAUAUGAAUUUAAAAUACGAUGCUGUUGCAAAAGAGCUUUCAUCAUAUCAGAAUACCUAGUUUUACACCAAUGAUGCUCCUUUUUAAUGAGUGGAUAAUCACAGGAAAAUAGGGCUGUGGAAAUCUAGAGAGGUCACCUCAUCCCUCACUGUAAACAGGGUUAAACAGAGCUGGGAAGUUACAACUGUCUCUGAGAUUAAAAUGGUAACAUUGAUCAGUUUCCUCCACACCAACCACGCAGCCCUGGAAAGGCUUUUCUCAGCAUAGAACGGAGAGACAGUGAGUAGCAUGGGGAAGAGAAAGGCAGCUGUGGUUUGUAGCAGCUGGUUUAUGCUAGUUCAUGUGCUGGGCCAUGAUUCAGGUUGUUCUUACUGAAUUUUGUUGUUGUUUUGUUGUGCUUUAUUUUUU